UGGGGAAUUUUGCACAAUGGGGGAAACCCUGAUGCAGCGACGCCGCGUGAUUUAGAAGGCCUUCGGGUUGUAAAAAUCUUUUUUAUGGGAUGAAAAUGACAGUACCAUAAGAAUAAGGUCCGGCUAAAUACGUGCCAGCAGCCGCGGUAAUACGUAUGGACCGAGCGUUGUCCGGAAUCAUUGGGCGUAAAGGGUACGUAGGCGGCCCAGUAAGUGAGAAGUGAAAUAAUAUAGCUCAACUAUAUAAAGCUUUUAAAACUGCUAGGCUUGAGAGAUGGAAGGGAAAGUGGAAUUCCUAGUGUAGCGGUGAAAUGCGCAGAUAUUUGGAAGAAUACCGGUGGCGAAGGCGACUUUCUUGUCAUCAUCUGACGCUGAGGUACGAAAGCGUGGGUAGCAAACAGG
rnacentral:rRNA from 1 species